rnacentral:sRNA from 1 species
UAUCUUCGCGUGUGCCAACUUUAAGUAG